rnacentral:rRNA from 1 species
GUGGGGAAUCUUCCGCAAUGGACGAAAGUCUGACGGAGCAACGCCGCGUGUACGACGAAGGCCUUCGGGUUGUAAAGUACUGUCUUCAGGGACGAACGGUAGGAAUGUAAAUAAUGUUCUUACAUGACGGUACCUGAGGAGGAAGCCCCGGCUAACUACGUGCCAGCAGCCGCGGUAAUACGUAGGGGGCAAGCGUUGUCCGGAAUCAUUGGGCGUAAAGGGCGCGUAGGCGGAUGAUUAAGUCUGGUGUGAAAACCUAGGGCUCAACCCUGGGACUGCAUCGGAAACUGGUUAUCUUGAGGACAGGAGAGGAAAGUGGAAUUCCACGUGUAGCGGUGAAAUGCGUAGAUAUGUGGAGGAACACCAGUGGCGAAGGCGACUUUCUGGACUGUAACUGACGCUGAGGCGCGAAAGCGUGGGGAGCAAACAGGAUUAGAAACCCUAGUAGUCC